AAUUAUUAUCAUGACUGUGAUCAUACAUAGGUUUGUGGUUUGGUUCAGGUCGGGUCAAGGGUUGAACCCGAUCGAACAUCUAAACCCUAGCAUGUCUAAGAGAUAUAUUUUAAAUAUAAAAUAUAUGAUGUAUGUGUAGAAUUUUUUUAGUAGCCUAAUACUCUAAUUGGGGUUCAUUACUAGGCCAUCCGAUCAUAAGAGCAAGUAGGGUUCAUAAAUCCUCUCUUCCUAUUCAAUAGGGUACUCUUAUGGCGUGUAGGGGUGCCACUGUGAUGUUUC
rnacentral:lncRNA from 1 species